GAGACAGCAGUCGCCGCGGGAAUACGUAGGGUGCAAGCGUUAAUCGGAAUUACUGGGCGUAAAGCGUGCGCAGGCGGUUCGCUAAGACAGAUGUGAAAUCCCCGGGCUUAACCUGGGAACUGCAUUUGUGACUGGCGGGCUAGAGUAUGGCAGAGGGGGGUAGAAUUCCACGUGUAGCAGUGAAAUGCGUAGAGAUGUGGAGGAAUACCGAUGGCGAAGGCAGCCCCCUGGGCCAAUACUGACGCUCAUGCACGAAAGCGUGGGGAGCAAACAGGAUUAGAUACCCCGGUAGUCCCUGUCUCUUAUAC
rnacentral:rRNA from 1 species